rnacentral:rRNA from 1 species
ACAUGCAGUCGAACGGUANGNGCCCNUUCGGGGGUACACGAGUGGCGAACGGGUGAGUANCACGUGGGUAAUCUGCCCUGCACUUCGGGAUAAGCCUGGGAAACUGGGUCUAAUACCGGAUAUGAGCUCCUGCCGCAUGGUGGGGGUUGGAAAGUUUUUCGGUGCAGGAUGAGUCCGCGGCCUAUCAGCUUGUUGGUGGGGUAAUGGCCUACCAAGGCGACGACGGGUAGCCGGCCUGAGAGGGUGAUCGGCCACACUGGGACUGAGACACGGCCCAGACUCCUACGGGAGGCAGCAGUGGGGAAUAUUGCACAAUGGGCGGAAGCCUGAUGCAGCGACGCCGCGUGGGGGAUGACGGUCUUCGGAUUGUAAACCCCUUUCAGUAGGGACGAAGCGAAAGUGACGGUACCUGCAGAAGAAGCACCGGCUAACUACGUGCCAGCAGCCGCGGUAAUACGUAGGGUGCGAGCGUUGUCCGGAAUUACUGGGCGUAAAGAGCUCGUAGGCGGUUUGUCACGUCGUCUGUGAAAUCCCUCGGCUUAACCGGGGGCGUGCAGGCGAUACGGGCAGACUUGAGUACUACAGGGGAGACUGGAAUUCCUGGUGUAGCGGUGAAAUGCGCAGAUAUCAGGAGGAACACCGGUGGCGAA